CCCUUAGAUGUUCUGGGCCGCACGCGCGCUACACUGAUGCAUUCAACGAGUCUAAAACCUGGUCUGAUAGGGCUGGGUAAUCUUUUGAAUGUGCAUCGUGAUUGGGAUAGAUGAUUGCAAUUCUUCAUCUUCAACGAGGAAUGCCUAGUAAACGCAAGUCAUCAGCUUGCAUUGAUUACGUCCCUGCCCUUUGUACACACCGCCCGUCGCUCCUACCGAUUGAAUGGUCCGGUGAAAUCUCCGGACUGGCGUGAGUCGGAGCAAUCUGACAAACACCGGAAAGUUGAUUAAACCUUACCAUUUAGAGGAAGGUGAAGUCGUAACA
rnacentral:rRNA from 1 species